rnacentral:lncRNA from 1 species
CCGCUCUUUUACCCUGGCCUUAAUUGCUGACAAGAGUGGAUACAUAGGUGGUGCCAUUGCAAUGAAGGAAAGAAAAAAUUUCUGCAAGGAGAGAAAGAUGAAAGAUAGGGUUCAACUGGCCUUCAACCCCUAUUUAUAGAUGUCAAUGCUUGCAUCAACCGCCAAUCGAUAGCUUGAAGGAAUACAUCCAUCUAUCAGGCAAUAAAUGGUGUAUUUUUUCACUAUCAAAAAUAAAUCCAAAUGAUGCUUCAUGGAUCAACACAUGAGUAUGUGGCAUAUGCUUACAAGUCCUAUAUUAUUUUUCAGGCAUUAU